UUUUCAGGCAGCGCCUUCCUGGGCGAUGUACCGACAAAAUGAACCUUAUCAAAGCCAUGACUGAUGUGGGAUAGAUUAACGUUGGUAUCGGAACCAAGACCAUGGUUGAAUUCUGGAUGAGUUAGAUUCUAAGAGAUUGGUCGAAUUUAAAUGCAGUUUGCGCUGAGAGGUGCCGCCUGAGAGGUUAAACUCAGGGCAAAACAAUGUUGAAAGGCGAAGGACGCGUCGUCCAACCCAGCUGAAUAUAAAAAGUCCUCAGCACAGUUUGUUUUCACUUAAGUUCCUUUGACCUGUCAUUAUUGAUUGCCAGGUUUUGGUGUUUUUUUUAUCUUAAUAAGGGAUAUUGUAAAAACAACAACAACAACAACAACCAGCUGAUUUUAAAUCAAUGUAGAGGAGGCCCCCUCAUCCCUCUGACAAACAACAGGUGGAGCAUUAACAUGGAGAGAAGUCAAGAGAACUGCUAAAGGUGAAGAGCUUUGGGCCUGAGCGGAGAAACAACGUGAAGGUGAGGGACUGGAUCUGCCUCCUGGACUCAUUGGCCUCUUGCUUGGCCUGCCUCAGAGAAUCAGUGUUGCGCUUCGCAGACUCAGUCAAAUCCACAAACUAACAUAUAUUCAAUGAACAUAUACGAUCAUGGAAUUAGUCUGAUACACAUGAUGCAGUGCAGUGUCCUGCAUCCCGGUGCUGCGCUGUGGUGUCCAGUGUGCUGAUCCCGGUGCCGCGCUGUGGUGUCCAGUGUGCUGAUGUGCCACGCCCUACACAACCAUCACUACUGGAUUCAAGGGAGUCAGGUCUUCGGCCAGGUUGUCCCUCUCCAUCAGGUACUGGUCCCUCUCCUUGCCGAUGGCAUCCAUCUGCUGCCGCAGCUCCCUCAGCUCCUCUUGGAACAGGUCAGAGGCGCGGUUGGGCUGGCCAUGCUGCUGACCCUUGAACUGGUUGAGCUCCUCCUGCAAUGCACCAUUCUGCUGCUCCAGUAAUGGAAUACUUUAUUGAUAUCCUGGGGCGUAUGCGGCCGAGCCAUGACUCUGCAGUUAUUCUAUCCUUUUCAAAUGCAGUAUCCAGUAAUCCUUGUUUGAGUACGAGUUGUCAAAUAACUGAAUAUUUUCCAUGAAAAAUGCUUUUUUGUUGCAGUUAAUGUAAACCAGCAUAGUCAUGCUGACUCUGAAUCAGAACGUAAAGUAAAGGUCGGAAUGGUCACAGAAUCCAGGCUUCUUAUUGCUGGUCCAUGAACUCAGUGACUUACCCAGCACCAGGCUUUGGAAGCCAUUAUCAACAAUUUUAGUGCUUUGAGUUUAAUGUGACUUUGAAAGCAAUCACUUAAAUAGCUGUUGCUGUCAGGGUUGCUGGAAACAGGCUGAUGCAGUGAGAAUACUUUUAAUGGCACAGAGGAGUCUUACAGCCAGACAGGUGGAGGAGGAAGCAUGUGGGUAGACAGGAAGUGAGAUACAGGCAACUAAGUCGGGUAGCAGGCAAGCAGGUAGAGUCACAGGAACAUCAAAAGACUAAACGGAAGGCUGUGUCUCAAAUCAGAUACUUCCGUUAGACAUACAAUGCAUGUAGAACACUGCGUACACCAGCAGUGAGUACACCUUGUACACGCAUAGUGUUUACUCAAAUCAAGCUGCCAUGCACUUACCAGAAAUCACGAUCUCAACAUGUGGCCACGUUUGUCUCCUGACAAAAUUUCUGCUUUUCUCACUUCUCACUUUUCUCACAAAAUUAAUGUUUGACUUCCUUGUGCACACACCAUUUACCCUUCCUCUACGUAGCCAGGAGAACGUUGAGGGUAAGAUGGUUUCUCACUCAACAUACAAUAUGUAACAAUAUGUAACAAUACUCAUAGUGUAGCAUUACUUAUAAUGUACAACCUAAAAGAACAGUUCAUACUUGAUGAUGAUGCUCUUCAACAUUCUCAAUACCAAACUGUAUAUUUUAAAUGUGGUGCCAUAAUUUAUCUCCAAUUUUAACAGUUUUUUUCCAAACAUGUUCCUCAGAAGAUCCUCAAAAGUGUAGUAAGAGAAGUGUGUGUGUGUGUGCAUGUGUGUGUGUAAGGUCAUAUUAAUUGAUGGCUAGAGACAGGCUACCAAUCCAGUAUAAAGUUGACGUAAUUCUGAGCAUGCUCCGUGUUGUCUGGGUGUGGCACGCUCUCCUCUUUGUGUCCCCAGUGAUGCUCGAUGCCUUUAAUCUUGUCCAUUUAUGCUCUUUUAGAUUUUAAAAAGGCACACAGCCAAAUUUAAUAAAUUGUGUCACAUUUGUGUCUUUCAAACACUCACUGUUACACGUCAGUCAGCAGUGUUUAUUGUAAUCUGUACUCAAUACUUUUUCUAGUGAAAUUUAUUCUCGAGUUUCCUCCUCUUAACAGACUCCGUGUCUGUUACACAUUGUAGGAAACUAUAGUAAUCUCUUUUUCAGUCGGACAUUCACAAACACUCACUUCCACACUCUCCCCCUUCGAGGUCUGCAUGAACAGGUCUGGUUCUCUGUGAAAUAAAUGUGCUAGGGUAGGUCUUUGUUCUGUAAUCUAAUCAACCUGCUUCCUCGUCAGUUACUCUCUCCUCUCCCUCCCUCCCCCUCUGUCUCAUGCCCUGCCCUGUCUUACUCUCUCUGCUCAGAGCACAUCUCACUUUCUAUUAAUUUUUCUGUUCAUGCUCCUACCAGCCCGUAUGGCCUUUGUCACAGUUUUAUAACAGUGUUUAGACGAUAUUUGCAUAUCUGCACUCUAAGUAACAACAUUUAUGUCGGGCACAUAAGCAUAUGCAAGAAAUAUAUAACUCAAUGAUUUUUGACCGGACUAUAUCAGUAAUACUAACCCUCAGCCAGAUGUUACCAUUAGCAAUUGAUCCCUCUGGUUCUUGGAGAAAUUCCCCUAGGGGCCAUAAAUUUAGUCAUACUUCUUGGACAGUGUCAGGCUACAGUAUCUGUUCCACACACGCCCUUGCUAUAUGGAAAAAUAGGUAGUUAGAAUUUGAUUCACAUAGGAGGUUAAAUACUAAAGUAUAAAGUUAAAUACUUGAACUUCCUCUCCUAUUUUAUGUUCAAGUGUUUGGUGAGGUCAGGAUUAAAAUCCAAAACAAAAGAUUGUGUAUAUAAAUGAUAUGAUGAUAUGAUAUGAUUUGAAAAGAUUUGCCAUCAACUAAUUCUGAGAAGUUUUGUAAUAAGUAAGUAAGUAUAGUUAUAGUUUUUAUUCUGUAGGGAUCCUCAUUAUAAUAAGAAUCUCACUUUUUUAUAACAAGGUGUUUUUAUUACAUGUUUUUGAGUGAUUACUAGAUACCAAUUAAUAAAGAUUUUACAAGAUAUUUUAUUGUUACAACAACAACUUAUCACUUUAUUCUUUUUUCGAGUUGUGAAGUUGUUCUGACUUUGGUGUGCUUUGGAGUCAUAAUGUGGUGAAAAACAUGGACGCUGUCAGCAAAAUUUGUUGUAUUUAUGUUUUGAGCCUUAAAACCACAAUUUGACCCCUCUUUCCAAUAUUUGCAUGUUAACGAAAAGCAAAGAAAAAGGAUCAGGUAUGACAGGCAUAAAUACAUAUUUUUAAAAAUCAAACGAAGGAAACUUCUUCACUUUCAGAUCUGUUACUAGAGAGUGGUGAGCAAUCAAGCGUCCAACCCACAGCUAGAAUUAGGUGACAGAUAGGGAUGCUGAUUUGCUUUUGCUGAGACAAAUGCUGAGCUGAUUUGAAGAAGCCACAAGGUUGGUAUGAUCCGGAAGGGCUGUGAGAUAGCUAUCAUCUGUAAAUGAUGAUGGACUCCCAGCAAAGCUGACGUGUUCCCCAUCUUGGCUGCAGAACACAUUCAGAGUGAACAGAAAUGACUGAACAGCACUUGGUAUGUGUGACCAAGAGACAUGUGUAGAAGAAGAUAGUUUUAGUUCUAUUUCUUUGUUUGAUAUUGUCUUUAAUAAAUUCCUGUUGUUCUGUUCUGUGACAAAUGUUUUUUUUUAAAUAUACCUGUAUGUAAUCUUUUGACUUAUUUAUCUAAUAAUUUACAAGUGGAUUUACCAGAAAUCCCCUCUGAUACAGAUGGUAUAUUCAAUUGGCCUGUCCUGUAUUUUUCUUGACUAGCGUUCAUCCUUGUUGUCUCUCAGACCUCUUGAUUGGCCCAGCCCACAACCUAUUGUUUCAGACUUGCCUUGAUGUAACGGUAUAAAACUGUUGACCACCAGACAGAAUUGCACCUGGUUGUGAUAUUCUGUCUCCACUGCUCCACUAAAUAAAAUACAUCUGAACCAUC